UGAAGGACGGAAGUAAGGCACUGAGUGCAUGCUGUCAGAUAAUUGGGUUAAUGGAUACAGAGCAAUAACAUGGCAUCUCCAGAAUGAAGCAAACAGAGCCUUCUCAUCGAAAGGGAGAUCCUGCAUUGACGACUGCGCUUCGCUGGAGAGCCCAGAGAGCAGAAGCCAUGACGCCCGUCUCAUGGAUACCGCUGAGGCCAUGGACCAUGCGGCUGUGUCCACUGCAUCUGAAGCAGCCUGCAGGGAUGCCCUUACGGCUGCCGCCCCUUCCUCCAUGAGACCCUAAACUCCUUCUUAUCGUGCUCCUGGAAGGAGUCCUCAAACUUGGGGAGGGUUUCCCAGAGGUUAAACUCGUAGCGACCCAAGAGAGCCUGAUGGUUUGCUACUUGUAGCAGAAAGCUUGAGGAAGAAUAAACUUUUCUCCUGAAAGUA